AGGGAAAGAAAGAAAGAAAGAAGAAGAAGAUGAAGAAGAAGAAGAAGAAGAAGAAGAAGAAGAAGAGAAAGAAAAUUGGGGCUUUUAGGGUUCUUGCUUUAAUCUUGUCAUUUCGGGUCAAAAUUUCCAAAGGCAACAAGGAUGACGAGAUCAUCUGGUUCUCCUGUUGCAUCUACUGCUGAUCAAUUGAGUGAUAUUAUGCCGACUUUGGAGACUAUGGCACAAGUGAUGCAACAACAACAGAGCAUAUUCUAUUUCUUAUUGAGUGGUAUCACGCGUGAAAGGGGAUUACGGCCAGCAAUAAGAGGCCGAAUGUCAGCUUUGAAAUUACAAACAUAUGCUGAUACGGUAGAAAGAGCUUUGAAAAUUGAAAGAGACAUGGAGGAAAUUCAAGAAAUCAUUGGCAAGAACAAAAGGGACAAAUUUACUAGCAAAAGCAGGAGAGAAAAUGAAUAUGAAGAUAGUAACAAGAGGUUUAAGACAUCUGGAUUUGAGAAAAGGAAACCAUUGGGGAGGACUCAGUUAUGUGCAAAAUGCGGAUUAAAUCAUGAAACAAGUCGGUGUUUUCGGGUGACUGGAGCAUGUUUUGGUUGUGGAAAGCUAGGUCAUCAAAUAAAAGAUUGCCCACUGAACAGGAAAGGAGAGCCACUGUCUCCUAGACCCUCAGCCCAUGCUAGAGUGUACGCUAUCACUGAACAAGAUUCUAGAGCUUCUAAAUCAGUGGUGGAAGGAUAGCGUAUCGCUUGCUUAAAUGUUAAGAAUGGGCUGAGGCAGUGGAAAGUUUAGAAGACGUUGGGCAGAACUUUUGUUAGCAUAUAUGUCGUUGUGUAUAAGCUACCUGGCAUCUAAUGAAAUGUGACUAUGAAUCUAAACCUGUGGAUUUUGUGUAAGUUAAAGGAUCCCUCAUGUAUAGGGUUUUGGAAUGUUAAAUUAAAUUCGUGUAAUGAUAUGAACUUAUGGUAAAUCGAUGAUUGUGGUGACUGCAUAGAUUUCCCCA